AUCAAUGAUCCAAGAGAUUUAUAAGAGUUUGAAUUUAUAUCUGAAUUAAUUUUAAAUUAGAUCUGAUUUAAUUAAGGCUUAUUUGGAUUAAAAAUCUAAGUUAGACUUGGAUCAGAAUCUCAAUUAGAUUGAGAUUGAUAGGCUCUUUGAAUUUGGUUUGAAUUUGAUUCAAAUCAGAUUCGAAUUGAGCCAAAUUUGGACCUAAUUGGUUUAGAACCAAAGAGUCCUAUGAGCCAGGGACUCUCUCUCAUCAU
rnacentral:lncRNA from 1 species